rnacentral:rRNA from 1 species
AUUGAACGCUAGCGGGAUGCCUUACACAUGCAAGUCGAACGGCAGCGCGGACUUCGGUCUGGCGGCGAGUGGCGAACGGGUGAGUAAUGUAUCGGAACGUGCCCAGUAGCGGGGGAUAACUACUCGAAAGAGUAGCUAAUACCGCAUACGCCCUACGGGGGAAAGGGGGGGAUCGCAAGACCUCUCACUAUUGGAGCGGCCGAUAUCGGAUUAGCUAGUUGGUGAGGUAAAGGCUCACCAAGGCGACGAUCCGUAGCUGGUUUGAGAGGACGACCAGCCACACUGGGACUGAGACACGGCCCAGACUCCUACGGGAGGCAGCAGUGGGGAAUUUUGGACAAUGGGGGAAACCCUGAUCCAGCCAUUCCGCGUGUGCGAUGAAGGCCUUCGGGUUGUAAAGCACUUUUGGCAGGAAAGAAAUCGCAUCAAUUAAUACUUGGUGUAGAUGACGGUACCUGCAGAAUAAGCACCGGCUAACUACGUGCCAGCAGCCGCGGUAA